rnacentral:rRNA from 1 species
UACGUAGGGGGCUAGCGUUGUCCGGAUUUAUUGGGCGUAAAGAGCGUGUAGGCGGCCCGGUAAGUCCGCUGUGAAAGUCGGGGGCUCAACCCUCGAAUGCCGGUGGAUACUGUCGGGCUAGAGUGCGGAAGAGGCGAGUGGAAUUCCUGGUGUAGCGGUGAAAUGCGCAGAUAUCAGGAGGAACACCGAUUGCGAAGGCAGCUCGCUGGGACGUCACUGACGCUGAGACGCGAAAGCGUGGGGAGCGAACAGG